GACGAACGCUGGCGGCGUGCUUAACACAUGCAAGUCGAACGGAAAGGCCCUGCUUUUGUGGGGUUCUCGAGUGGCGAACUGGUGAGUAACACGUGAGUAGCCUCCCCUUGACUUUGGGAUAACUUCAGGAAACUGGUGCUAAUACCGGAUAGGAGCUCCUGCUGCAUGUUUGGGGUUGGAAAGUUUCGGUGGUUGGUGAUGGACUCGCGGCUUAUCAGCUUGUUGGUGGGGUAGUGGCUUACCAAGGCUUUGACGGGUAGCCGGCCUGAGAGGGUGACCGGCCACAUUGGGACUGAGAUACGGCCCAGACUCCUACGGGAGGCAGCAGUGGGGAAUAUUGCACCAUGGGCGGAAGCCUGAUGCAGCAACGCCGCGUGCGGGAUGACGGCCUUCGGGUUGUAAACCGCUUUCGCCUGUGACGAAGCGUGAGUGACGGUAAUGGGUAAAGAAGCACCGGCCAACUACGUG
rnacentral:rRNA from 1 species